rnacentral:rRNA from 1 species
GACGAACGCUGGCGGCGUGCUUAACACAUGCAAGUCGAACGGAAAGGCCCUGCUUGCAGGGUACUCGAGUGGCGAACGGGUGAGUAGCACGUGGGUGAUCUGCCCUGCACUUCGGGAUAAGCCUGGGAAACUGGGUCUAAUACCGGAUAGGAGCCAUUUUUAGUGUGAUGGUUGGAAAGUUUUUUUGGUGUGGGAUGAGCUCGCGGCCUAUCAGCUUGUUGGUGGGGUAAGGGCCUACCAAGGAGGGGACGGGUAGCCGGCCUGGGAGGGUGGACGGCCACAUUGGGACUGGGAUUCGGCCCAGACUCCUAAGGGAGGCAGCAGGGGGGAAUAUUGCAAAAUGGGCGCAAGCCUGAUGCAGCGACGCCGGGUGGGGGAUGACGGGCUUCGGGUUGUAAACUCGUUUCGCUAGGGACGAAGCUUUUUGUGACGGUACCUAGAUAAGAAGCACCGGCUAACUACGUG